CCUACGGGUGGCAGCAGUAGGGAAUAUUGCUCAAUGGGGGAAACCCUGAAGCAGCAACGCCGCGUGGAGGAUGAAGGUUUUCGGAUUGUAAACUCCUUUUGUUAGAGAAGAUAAUGACGGUAUCUAACGAAUAAGCACCGGCUAACUCCGUGCCACCAGCCGCGGUAAUACGGAGGGUGCAAGCGUUACUCGGAAUCACUGGGCGUAAAGGGCGCGUAGGCGGGAUAGCAAGUCAGAUGUGAAAUCCUAUGGCUUAACCAUAGAACUGCAUUUGAGACUGUUAUUCUAGAGUAUGGGAGAGGUAGGUGGAAUUAUUGGUGUAGGGGUAAAAUCCGUAGAGAUCAAGAGGAAUACUCAUUGCGAAGGCGACCUGCUAGAACAUAACUGACGCUGAUGCGCGAGAGCGUGGGGAGCAAACAGGAUUAGAUACCCGGGUAGUC
rnacentral:rRNA from 1 species